GAUGAAUGCUGGCGGCGUGCCUAAUACAUGCAAGUCGAGCGGUAACACUUCGGGUGACGAGCGGCGGACGGCAGAGUAACGCGUAGGAACGUACCCCAAACUGAGGGAUAACGCACCGAAAGGUGUGCUAAUACCGCAUGUGAUCUUCGGAUUAAAGCUUCGGCGGUUUGGGAACGGCCUGCGUAUGAUUAGCUUGUUGGUGAGGUAAUGGCUCACCAAGGCGACGAUCAUUAGCUGGUCUGAGAGGAUGAUCAGCCUGACUGGAACUGAGACAUGGUCCAGACUCCUACGGGAGGCAGCAGUAGGGAAUUUUCCACAAUGGGCGAAAGCCUGAUGGAGCAACGCCGCGUGCAGGAUGAAGGCCUUCGGGUUGUAAACUGCUUUUGUCUGUGAAGAUUAUGACGGUAGCAGACGAAUAAGGACCGGCUAACUACGUGCCAGCCGCCGCCGUAA
rnacentral:rRNA from 1 species